rnacentral:lncRNA from 1 species
AAGGUGUUUCGUUCCUGGGUGGCUCUCGGCUGCUCAGCUCCCUCAGUCCUUUACCUACUCUGUGUCCCUUGCUGCAAACCUGUAACCCUCCAUAGGCAGGGCAGGCACUAGUUGUGGCAUCCCCUCCAACUCCCUGCUGUGCCCCGGCCUUCACACCUCCACGGGCAAGGCUCAGCUGUACCCACAAGUUAGGCCGUGAAACCACCAGCUCCUACCUCCCCCCAGCAGCCAGGUGUCCCUUCAUCACCUGCAGGACAGGGAGCAUGGCAAGGAGAAAGGGGACAGUGAGGGGAGAGGUCCUCAGGGCACAAGAAGCAGGCAGGUAACUGCAGACACCAUGUGGGUAGCUCUGAGGACCCCCCGCCAUCUUGAGUAGAGCUGGGCCACCUGGUGCCUCAGCAGUGGAGCAGAAGGAUCUGUUCCUUCCUUUUUGGAACUAAGGAACUAAGCUGGAGGCUCCAUCAGGUGGAAACAAGUAAUCAGACUUGAGUUUUGUCAUUGCCUUCAGCUGGGAGUCAGUUAUAUGAGGGCUGUGUUUCCAGACCCCAAAGGUUAGGGCCUGCUAGCUCUGGUUGGUUGCUGUGUGCCCUGUCACAGUGCCUGGUGCAGAGGGGGAAACCCUUACAGUUUAGAAGUUAUCCUGCUAAAGAAGGGUUUCCCACUGUUUCUGCACCCAAGCUGAAGCCUCUUUCAUGUGGGGAAUGUUUUUCUUCUUUGAAGACUUAGCAAAUAUUUGCCCAAUGUGGAUGUGAAGGAGGCACACAUGUGGUAAGUGUCCUCUCAGAGGCUACUGCAUUUUUUUUAAGAUAAACUUCUAGCUCUAAGUGGCACCAAGUAUUAGUCCACGGCUAUGUUCUGUAUUUAUGAGAAAAGUAUAUCAAUGGUGUAAAUUUUAUUGUGUACAAAUCCUACUUUUAUGUAAGUGAGCAAGUUUUUUUUUAAAAAAAAAAGGGGUGGAAUUGUUCUUUAUAUAAGAACAAGGUCAAAGAAGAGAUUUUUCUUUGAGUAUAAUAUAGCUGAACUGACGUGUAGUGGGUAAAGGGUGACUGGAGCAGGACCUGAAGCUGACCAGAAGUGUCUUAAAGAUGGAGAGAGAGUGUUGUAGGUUGUCGUGUGAUUGUCCAAAAUAAAAUAAGAUUUUUUUAUUUUGAAAAUGAAAAA